rnacentral:rRNA from 1 species
GAUGAACGCUGGCGGCGUGCCUAAUACAUGCCAGUCGAGCGAACAGACGAGGAGCUUGCUCCUCUGACGUUAGCGGCGGACGGGUGAGUAACACGUGGAUAACCUACCUAUAAGACUGGGAUAACUUCGGGAAACCGGAGCUAAUACCGGAUAAUAUAUUGAACCGCAUGGUUCAAUAGUGAAAGACGGUUUUGCUGUCACUUAUAGAUGGAUCCGCGCCGCAUUAGCUAGUUGGUAAGGUAACGGCUUACCAAGGCAACGAUGGGUAGCCGACCUGAGAGGGGGUCCGGCCCACCGGGAACGGGAACCCGGCCCAGACCCCUACGGGAGGCAGAAGUAGGGAAUUUUCCGCAAUGGGCGAAAGCCUGACGGAGCAACGCCGCGUGAGUGAUGAAGGUCUUCGGAUCGUAAAACUCUGUUAUUAGGGAAGAACAAAUGUGUAAGUAACUAUGCACGUCUUGACGGUACCUAAUCAGAAAGCCACGGCUAACUACGUG